GACGAACGCUGGCGGCGUGCUUAACACAUGCAAGUCGAACGAAGUGGCGAACGGGUGAGUAACGCGUAAUCAACCUGCCCUUCAGAGGGGGACACCAGUUGGAAACGACUGCUAAUACCGCAUACUGAAGGAGGGGAUUGCGUCUGAUUAGCUAGUUGGAGGGGUAACGGCCCACCAAGGCGAUGGUCAGUAGGCGGGCUGAGAGGAUGAACGGGCAAAUUGGGACUGGGAAACGGCCCAGACUUCGAAGGGAGGCAGCAGUGGGGAAACUUGCGAAAGUGACGAAAGUCUGACGGAGCAACGCCGCGUGAGUGAUGACGGCCUUCGGGUUGUAAAGCUCUGUUAAGCGGGACGCGGUACCGGAAUAGAAAGCCACGGCUAACUACGUGCCAGCAGCCGCGGUAAUAC
rnacentral:rRNA from 1 species